rnacentral:rRNA from 1 species
UGGGGGAUAUUGCACAAUGGGCGAAAGCCUGAUGCAGCGACGCCGCGUGGGGGAUGAAGGCCUUCGGGUUGUAAACUUCUUUUGCUCUGAACAAGGCAUGCUAAUGGGUGUGUUGAGUGUAGGGGUUGAUUAGCGCCGGCUAACUACGUGCAGCAGCCGCGGUAAUACGUAGGGCGCGAGCGUUGUCCGGAAUUAUUGGGCGUAAAGGGCUUGUAGGUGGCUGGUUGCGUCUGUCGUGAAAGCUCAUGGCUUAACUGUGGGUUUGCGGUGGGUACGGGCUGGCUUGAGUGCAGUAGGGGAGGCUGGAAUUCCUGGUGUAGCGGUGGAAUGCGCAGAUAUCAGGAGGAAUACCGGUGGCGAAGGCGGGUCUCUGGGCUGUUACUGACACUGAGGAGCGAAAGCAUGGGGAGCGAACAGG